GGAGGAGUGGCCGAGCGGUCGAAGGCGGCGGUCUUGAAAACCGUUGACCCGAAAGGGUCCAGGGGUUCGAAUCCCUUCUCCUCCG
rnacentral:tRNA from 1 species